UGGAUGAUCUUUUGUGUUAGUAAUAAACAAAUCAGACAUAAACAAGUCAGUCAUAAACAGGAAAAUAAACAUCCAUUAAUAACGUGCUUUGAUUAACGUAACAUGUAGUCGGCUAUAAAGACACUGACAAUGUUUUUAAAUACCGUUCUCUGCUAUAUUAAAAGACAAUGAAAAUGUUGAAUAACGUAGUGGGCUACUGGGCUUAUAUUCGGGGGACUUAUAUUUGGG